CGACAUCACCGAAACCAAUCUCUUCCCUUUGUCCUUUUGUGAAGCUGCUCAAUGUCACCGGAUCAUUGCCUCCUCCGGCGAACUACUCCGGUGAACUCUCCCUUCUCCGGCUAACACCAUUGUUCUCGUCGGCAAUCAACUCCAGCUGCGUUUAUGCUCAAUCAUUCUCGGCGUUCUAGCUCCUCCGUGAAUUUGAGACAUCAACUUCAUCUUCUUCAAUCAAAGAAACGCAGCUCCUUCGAUGAGGCUUCUCCUUUGAAUCUCAUCAUUGCUUCCUCUCCAACUCCCAGGUGAUGAGCUCCACCUUGUCAUCACCAGCACAAUUCAUUGCUUCUCUCUUGAGAUCAUGUUCAACCUUUGGAACUCCACCUGGAACUUGUAACUCCAACACAGUUCCAGUACUUAACAGACUGUUGGAGUUACAUGUGGCCACUGCUCCUGUUCACCGGAUGUUGAGAAGCUCAUAGUAGAACUGGAACUUCUGGCCAGCCCCUAUGACUUCAUUUAACCUCAAGGUAUCUCUACCAUACUUCAGAGUCUCCUUGAGUUGAUCAUACCUCUCAGAUAGUGAGCUCAACAACAUGAUUGCUUGAACCUCUUUUGUAACUUCCACUCCUAUGUUGUUCAGGAUCAACACUUGGAGACAACCCAAAACCUCCACUUGUGCCCGUUUGAGAGUCUUGUUGAGCUGUUGUAGCUUCUGCUUCUACAGUAGGUGGGUCUUUUAGCAGCUGUUCAUCAUUCAAGAUCUCUUUCAGGCCUAGGACACCAAAGUUAGCCAACAUUCUGACCUUCCACAAGGAGAAGUCACCUGUUCCAUCAAACCUGUCCACCUCGACCCGAGUGUUGCUCAUUUUAUUUCGCACAAGAAGAACAAGGAUCACCAAUACAACAAUGGAGGAAGAAGAAAGCUUGAAGAAUAAGAAAAACUGUCUCGUUUCUCUUGUUUUUCACUUUUUCUAGAAAGCUCUUUUGUAUAUCUUGUCUCACCUACCUCCACUCUCCCAUAUCUUUGUAGAUAUUUUAAGUGAACCAAAUGGAUCACAUUAUUCCUUCUUAUGUCAUUUUUGU